GGUGGAUGGUGUGCACGGUGCACGUCUGUGUUAUGUGCUGUUGCCUGACUGUGUUUUGCAGGCUGGGCAGCAGUGCUCACUCCACACCUGCAGCCAUAGAGCAACUGGAGAUCAUAGUACUGGUCCUUGACAUCUCACCAUUGGCCAGCCUCCAAACUCUCCUACAUGA